rnacentral:rRNA from 1 species
CCUACGGGGGGCAGCAGGCGCGAAACCUCCGCAAUGUGAGAAAUCGCGACGGGGGGAUCCCAAGUGCCAUUCUUAACGGGAUGGCUUUUCUUAAGUGUAAAAAGCUUUUGGAAUAAGAGCUGGGCAAGACCGGUGCCAGCCGCCGCGGUAACACCGGCAGCUCUAGUGGUAGCUGUUUUUAUUGGGCCUAAAGCGUUCGUAGCCGGUUUGAUAAGUCACUGGUGAAAUCCUGUAGCUUAACUGUGGGAAUUGCUGGUGAUACUGUUGAACUUGAGGUCGGGAGAGGUUAGCGGUACUCCCAGGGUAGAGGUGAAAUUCUGUAAUCCUGGGAGGACCACCUGUGGCGAAGGCGGCUAACUGGAACGAACCUGACGGUGAGGGACGAAAGCUAGGGGCGCGAACCGGAUUAGAUACCCGGGUAGUCCUAGCCGUAAACGAUGCGGACUUGGUGUUGGGAUGGCUUUGAGCCGCUCCGGUGCCGAAGGGAAGCUGUUAAGUCCGCCGCCUGGGAAGUACGGU